rnacentral:rRNA from 1 species
GACGAACGCUGGCGGCGUGCUUAACACAUGCAAGUCGAACGGAAAGGCCCUGCUUUUGUGGGGUGCUCGAGUGGCGAACGGGUGAGUAACACGUGAGUAACCUGCCCUUGACUUUGGGAUAACUUCAGGAAACUGGGGCUAAUACCGGAUAGGAGCUCCUGCUGCAUGGUGGGGGUUGGAAAGUUUCGGCGGUUGGGGAUGGACUGGCGGCUUAUCAGCUUGUUGGUGGGGUAGUGGCUUACCAAGGCUUUGACGGGUAGCCGGCCUGAGAGGGGGACCGGCGACAUGGGGACUGAGAUACGGACCAGACUCCUACGGGAGGCAGAAGUGGGGAAUAUUGCACAAUGGGCGGAAGCCUGAUGCAGCAACGCCGCGUGCGGGAUGACGGCCUUCGGGUUGUAAACCGCUUUCGCCUGUGACGAAGCGUGAGUGACGGUAAUGGGUAAAGAAGCACCGGCUAACUACGUG